AUGACGCACCUCUUGGUUCACCUAGUCGAAGAGAUUUUCAUUCUCGGUCCUGUAUUUCUACACAAUAUGUUCCCCUUCGAGAGGUUCAUGGGAGUAUUAAAGAAAUAUGUUCGUAACCGUGUUAGGCCAGAAGGAAGCAUCGCCAAGGGCUAUGGAAAUGAGGAGGUAAUUGAGUUUUGUGUUGACUUUGUUCCUGACCUUAAGCCGAUUGGUCUUCCUCGAUCGCGGCACGAGGGGAGACUAAGUGGAAAAGGCACGAUCGGAAGGAAAUCAACGACAUGUAUGGACGGCCAUUCUCUGACUGAAGCACACCACACUGUACUGACCAAUUCCAGCUUGGUGGCUCCGUACUUUGAGAAACACAAGAAUAUUUUACGCUCGGACAACCCGGGGAAGCCUGAAUCCUGGAUUAGGAAGGCCCACAUGGAGACUUUCGGCAGUUGGUUGAGAAAACAUUUAAUGAAUGACAAUGAUGUUGUAGAUCAGCUGUACAUGUUGGCCAAGACACCAUCUUCGACUAUAAUGACUUUCCAAGGGUACGAGAUAAAUGGGAAUACAUUUUACACGAUCGCCCAAGAUAAAAAGAGCACCAACCAAAACAGUGGUGUCCGCUUUGAUGCAGCAACCGAGAAUGGGCAAAAGGUCACAUAUUAUGGUUACAUAGAGGAGAUAUGGGAACUUGACUAUGGACCCUCCUUUAAGGUCCCUUUGUUCCGGUGCAAAUGGUUCAAGCUAACAGGAGGUGGGGUAAAGGUGGACCAGCAAUACGGAAUGACAAUGGUGGAUUUCAACAAUCUUGGUUACCUUGACAAACCAUUCGUCCUAGCGAAAGAUGUCGCUCAGGUUUUCUAUGUGAAGGACAUGAGUAGCAAACCGAGGAAACGGAAAGAUAAGAAAACGAUCAGUACAUCAUGCGAUGAUCCAAAGCGCCACAUUGUUCUUUCAGGGAAAAGAAACAUCGUGGGAGUGGAGGACAAGACAGACAUAUCAGAAGAUUAUAAUAUGUUUGCUGAAAUUCCGCCCUUCAAAGUGAACACCGACCCAAGCAUUAAGUUAAAUGAUGAGGAUGCUCCAUGGAUACGGCACAAUCAUAAGCAAGCAGGGACACAAGGGAAGAAAUGA
rnacentral:rRNA from 1 species